rnacentral:rRNA from 1 species
CUGCUCAGUAACACGUGGAUAACCUACCCUUGAGACGGGGAUAAACCCGGGAAACUGGGUAUAAUACCCGAUAGAUCUCGACUGCUGGAAUGCAUCGAGCUUGAAAGCUCCGGCGCUCAAGGAUGGGUCUGCGGCCUAUCAGGUAGUAGUGGGUGUAGCGUACCUACUAGCCUACGACGGGUACGGGUUGUGAGAGCAAGAGCCCGGAGAUGGAUUCUGAGACACGAAUCCAGGCCCUACGGGGUGCAGCAGGCGCGAAAACUUUACAAUGCUGGAAACAGCGAUAAGGGGACCUCGAGUGCCAGGUUACAAAUCUGGCUGUCGUGAUGCCUAAAAAGCAUUGCAUAGCAAGGGCCGGGCAAGACCGGUGCCAGCCGCCGCGGUAACACCGGCGGCUCGAGUGGUAACCGUUAUUAUUGGGUCUAAAGGGUCUGUAGCCGGCCGGAUAAGUCUCUUGGGAAAUCUGGCAGCUUAACUGUCAGGCUUUCAGGAGAUACUGUCUGGCUCGAGGCCGGGAGAGGUGAGAGGUACUUCAGGGGUAGGGGUGAAAUCUUGUAAUCCUUGAAGGACCACCAGUGGCGAAGGCGUCUCACCAGAACGGACCUGACGGC